GUUUAAUUGCUGAAAAUUAGCCUUUUAUGCCAAUUGCAACAGUUUCAGGUUUCCAUAUUACCCCAGCCCUCCUUAUUGAUAGUUAUGUUCUGACAUGGGUAUUGUGUAUCUGUGCAAUUAUAAACUUUCCAGAUUUCUCCUAAAAGCUAGCUUUCAGACCCACCAAUAUUAGUAGAAUUUAGAUGCAUACAUGUGAAGCUAAUGAUUCUUAGUUUAAAUUGGUUGAUUUAAUGUUGCAUCAUGUGCUGCAGAAAAACAUAUUAAAGGAUUUCAUGAUCCCUAUGCUGGGAAGACAUACAUGCAGUGUUAUUUGCAUUCAGGGCUUGGCGCCCUUCAUAGGGUCACUAAAUCUGCCCCUGCUGACAGACGGGAGCCCCACAUAUUACCUGGAUCUCCCUGGUGCUUUCCAUGCAGUCCUGGAAAUCAUGGGUUUUAAAGAGAUUAAGGGGAUAACCAGGAGAGACCUGAGAUGUUUUCUUGUAAUCUCUCAAACUAUAAUAGACUCACUGAUGACCUUCAAGUGGGUGGGCUGCUCUCCAGUUAUUAACCGUCACACAGCCAUUUGUUUUGUGCUAUCUGUGUUUCGCCCUGAUUACUGAAACCUUUUGUAUGUUAAUGGUCAACAGGCGUCCGUUCUGUUUAGUUAUGAUGGCUUCUAUCUGAUUUAAUGUGGUAAUGGUCGUAUACAGAUUCGGAACCAGAUUAGUUUUAUGUUCUGAAAUUACAGCACUCGGGAGCCACCUACAG